GACGAACGCUGGCGGCGUGCUUAACACAUGCAAGUCGAACGGAAAGGCCCUGCUUUUGUGGGGUGCUCGAGUGGCGAACGGGUGAGUAACACGUGAGUAACCUGCCCUUGACUUUGGGAUAACUUCAGGAAACUGGGGCUAAUACCGGAUAGGAGCUCCUGCUGCAUGGUGGGGGUUGGAAAGUUUCGGCGGUUGGGGAUGGACUCGCGGCUUAUCAGCUUGUUGGUGGGGUAGUGGCUUACCAAGGCUUUGACGGGUAGCCGGCCUGAGAGGGUGACCGGCCACAUUGGGACUGAGAGACGGCCCAGACUCCUACGGGAGGCAGCAGGGGGGAAUAUUGCACAAUGGGCGGAAGCCUGAUGCAGCAACGCCGCGUGCGGGAUGACGGCCUUCGGGUUGUAAACCGCUUUCGCCUGUGACGAAGCGUGAGUGACGGUAAUGGGUAAAGAAGCACCGGCUAACGACG
rnacentral:rRNA from 1 species